AGUUGGUGUAAUUGCUCAGACAGAACAGACAUUCAGAGAUGGAGAUGUAAAUGGCGCUCUGUGGCGUUCACUGACUUAAUGAACAGCCGGGCUCACAGCCCUCUGGCUGCACUUAAACUUUAAAACAUCUAUUAUUGAGGCAUGACCAAAAAAAAAGAAAGAAAGAAAAAAGUGAGUGGCCAGCAGUAACCUUUCUCUUGUCUCUCUCCUGGUAUGUCUACUUUAGAAGGAGGUGGAGUCG